AGUAAUGUAUGGGGAUCUGCCUGAUGGCGGGGGAUAACUACUGGAAACGGUAGCUAAUACCGCAUAACGUCGCAAGACCAAAGAGGGGGACCUUAGGGCCUCUUGCCAUCGGAUGUGCCCAGAUGGGAUUAGCUAGUAGGUGGGGUAACGGCUCACCUAGGCGACGAUCCCUAGCUGGUCUGAGAGGAUGAUCAGCCACACUGGGACUGAGACACGGCCCAG
rnacentral:rRNA from 1 species